CAGGCAGCGCUUGGCAAUCUCUGUGAGUCUCUCCUCCGUGUGCUGCUGGGCUCUGCUCCGCCCCCCCUCCUCCUGCUCUCCUGCACUCCUGCUGUACACUGACUUCCGGGUACAGGGGAGACAACGGCUGCAGCUGCUGCUUAUCACAGCAAGUGAAGUCUCUCCCUCCAUUCCCUCCAUUCCCUCCCACCCCUCGUGCAAGUGCUCCUUAUAUUGUAGGUACCCUAUGGAUUUCGACAGGACAAGUGGACGAGAAUGGCUGCGUGGGGUGUAGGCGAUCGGAGUGUGAUUGACAGGAAGUGGGUGUUUCUGGGCGGAAACAGGCCGUUUUAUGGGCGUGUUGGAAAAAACGCUACCGUUUCUGUGAAAAACGCGGGAGUGGCUGGAGAAACGGAGGAGUGUCUGGCCGAACGCUGGGUGUGUUUAUGACGUCAAACCAGGAACGACAAGCACUGAACUGAUCGCAGAUGCCGAGUAAGGUUGAAGUUACUCAGAAACUGCUAAGAGGUCCUAUGCUUGACAGCACAACAACAACUGAUACACAUACAGAAGAAGGCCCAGAAAUAGGACAUGUGGAUGAGAUGAUAACACUGGCAUUGUUUGACAUCACACCACCUAGGGCAGGGAUGGGGAACCUUUGGCCCUCCAGCUGAUGUUGAACUACACAUCCCAGCAUGCAGUGUUACAGUUUUAGCAUGGCCAAAUAGCAAAACUGUUGCAGAGCAUGCUGGUAUGUGUAGUUUAGCAACAGCUGGACGGCCAAAGGUUCCCCAUCCCUGACCUAGGGUGUCAAGCCCAACACCACCAACCUCUCAACCAGACUCGCCCACAUCAACACCUGCCGCCGAUACUGGAGCAUAAUUGCUACAGGCUGUGGCUUCCUUUGAAAACUGGCAAAGUUGAAGUUAUGGGGGAUCAAAUUUGUCAACUAGCCCAAAUAAAUACACAAAUGAGCAGUUGAAAUUGUACACUCUCUGCCAUAAAUGUCACCAUGAAUGGGUUGUGCACUAGUGCAUCACACUAAAUAAUAUCUCCCAACUGUCCCGAUUUUUCGUGUGACAGUCUCGUUUUUUUGGGACUGUCCCACCCAUGGGACUGUCCCACGGUGGGAGGAGGUGCAGUUGGGAGGCUCCUGUCACUCCUGUGUCUCCUGCUAGCAGAGCAGCGGUGAAUAGACAAUGUACGCAUGCGCACAGCGUUUAUUCAUGAGACAGAGAUACUGGGGGAAUGGCCAGCAGCUCACAGAGCGCUGGCCAUGCCUCACCUGUGACAAAAACAGGAGGCGUGGAAGGCAGCCGCGGAUUUGCCGCGAAGACAUGCCCCUUUUCCUGAGACCAGACCCGUUUCUGGUAGGGCGUGGCUUUGCCACGCAGAAAUUUCCCGCUUAACAGAUUCAAAAUGUUGGGUGGUAUGCUAAAUACUGUAGAAUGCAUAGCAUUAAAUAGAUUGCAUGACUCCAAUUUAAGAAUGUAGUAAUCCUUCCUUAGGAAGCAGGAAUCAGAAAAUAACACCCUAAGGGAUUUAAAUAUUAGCACACUGACUUUUGGCAGCCAACUAUUAGCUAAAAUGUUGGAAACAGUGGCUACUUUAUCUUCGGUUUUUCUCACAGCGGGCAAUCAGAUCUGAACUGCGUAUGCACCGCAUUGCGUAGGUUGGUUGCACGGCUGCAAUGGGGAUUGCCUGUCAGCGAUGGUAUUGUGCGAAGGAUCCAUUCGUACGGAUGUUCACAAGGAGAUUGACAGGAAGAGGUCAUUUGUGGGUGGCAACUGACCGUUUUUAGGGAGUGUCCGAAAAAAUGCAGGCGGGCUCAAGCAUUUCCAGGGAGGGUGUCUGACGUCAAAUCCGGUCCCGAACAGACUGAUGUGAUCACAGCGGCUGAGUAAGUCCUGGGCUGCACAGAGACUACACAAAAUCAGCUUGUGCAGCUCAGCUACACAUACGAUCGCACACUUGCACAGCGAAAAUACACUCCCCCUGUAGGCGGUGACUAUAUGAUCGCAGGACAGCAAAAAUCACUUCCUAGCGAUCAGAUCUGAAUUGGGCCCACAGUGCACUACCAUACUCCCAACAACAGCACCCAGGAAGGAGAAAAUAACAAUUUGUGCAUGUUUGCAGAAAGCAAUAUUGGUAUGUUCAAACAAUACUGUACCUAUUUGAAUAUAUUUGUAUUCAGGGGCGGAUUGGGAUCAAAAACCAGCCCGGGAAAUUUAUGGAAGCAUCCCUAAUAGGCGCGGCGGACUGUUAAGGGGGUAGAGUCUGUCAAGUGGGAGGGAUUACUGCUCAGAAUGCCAGCAUACAUGAAAGCAUGAAAGCAUGUAAAAUGCGCGCUGCAAAAUUUAUAGGGGCGUGGCUCAGUGGGAAAGGGGCAUGGCCACAUAAUAGUGCCAAUUCACAUUACACCACACAGUAGUGCCACUUAUACACAGUGCACCAUGUAGAACCUCCUAUACACACUGUGCCAGUUUGAGCACGUUAUACAUAUUCCGCCAGAUAGAGCACAUUCUACACUUUGCGCCAGGUAGAGCACGGUAUACACUUUGCGCCAGGCAGAGCACAUUAUACACAUUGCACCAGGUAAAGCACAUUAUACAUUUUGCGCCAGGCAGAGCACAUUAUACACACUGCACCAGGUAAAGCACAUUAUACACAUUGCAGUGGGUAAAGCACAUUAUACACAUUGCACCAGGUAGAGCACAUUAAACACAUUGCACCAGGUAGAGCACAUCAUACACUUUGCGCCAGGUAUAGCACGUUAUACACUUUGCGCCAGGUAGAGCACGUUCUACACUUUACGCCAGGUAGAGCACGUUAUACACUUUACGUCAGGGAGAGCACAUUAUACACAUUGCAUUAGGUAGAGCACAUUACACACAUUGCACCAGGUAGAACACGUUAUACACUUCGUGCUUGUUCAUCGCUCGUUCAUCGCUGGUGCUCCGUCGCCUGUGCAUGCAGGCCAAUAUGGACGAUCUCGUCCAUAUUUGCCUGCACUGCUAUAGAGCCGGGUGACGGGGGGAGUGA